rnacentral:rRNA from 1 species
CGUAGGUGANCNNGCGGAAGGAUCAUUACUUUAUGUGAUGUUCAAAUUUAAAUUCGCAAUGAAAUGAUCGUUGUGAAACGGCUGUCGCUGGUGUCUAAGUGUUGCUGAUACGGUUGUGAACGUCCGUGGCUGUAUAUGUGGUGACAUGUUAGGACUCUAAUGAGUUUAAGACCUAAUGAGCCUCUUAAGUGAGGCCGCCAGCAACCUUUUUUUUCUCUACAUUUUAAAAAAAAAACUAAAAUUCUACCCUUAUCGGUGGAUCACUAGGCUCGUGGAUCGAUGAAGAACGCAGCAAACUGCGAUAAUUAUUGCGAACUGCAGAAGUAUUGAGCACAAAAGUUUUGAACGCAAAUGGCCGCAUUGAGGUCAAACUCUUUGCAACGUCUGGUUCAGGGUCAUUUUCUCUUAUAGCGGAAGCUUUAAUUUCUAUAAUGAUGUUGUUGCUUUAUAUUUUAAAAGGAUUUUUGUUUAUUCAUGUAUUAAAUCUAACUGUGAAAAUCAAACAAUUUUGACCUGAACUCAGUCGAGAGCACCCGCUGAACUUAAGCAUAUCAGUAAGCGGAGGAAAAGAAACUAACCAGG